rnacentral:rRNA from 4 species
GGGUUGUGAGGUUAAGCGACUAAGCGUACACGGUGGAUGCCUAGGCAGUCAGAGGCGAUGAAGGGCGUGCUAAUCUGCGAAAAGCGUCGGUAAGCUGAUAUGAAGCGUUAUAACCGACGAUACCCGAAUGGGGAAACCCAGUGCAAUACGUUGCACUAUCGUUAGAUGAAUACAUAGUCUAACGAGGCGAACCGGGGGAACUGAAACAUCUAAGUACCCCGAGGAAAAGAAAUCAACCGAGAUUCCCCCAGUAGCGGCGAGCGAACGGGGAGGAGCCCAGAGUCUGAAUCAGUUUGUGUGUUAGUGGAAGCGUCUGGAAAGUCGCACGGUACAGGGUGAUAGUCCCGUACACCAAAAUGCACAGGCUGUGAACUCGAUGAGUAGGGCGGGACACGUGACAUCCUGUCUGAAUAUGGGGGGACCAUCCUCCAAGGCUAAAUACUCCUGACUGACCGAUAGUGAACCAGUACCGUGAGGGAAAGGCGAAAAGAACCCCGGCGAGGGGAGUGAAAUAGAACCUGAAACCGUGUACGUACAAGCAGUGGGAGCACCUUCGUGGUGUGACUGCGUACCUUUUGUAUAAUGGGUCAGCGACUUAUAUUUUGUAGCAAGGUUAACCGAAUAGGGGAGCCGUAGGGAAACCGAGUCUUAACUGGGCGUCUAGUUGCAAGGUAUAGACCCGAAACCCGGUGAUCUAGCCAUGGGCAGGUUGAAGGUUGGGUAACACUAACUGGAGGACCGAACCGACUAAUGUUGAAAAAUUAGCGGAUGACUUGUGGCUGGGGGUGAAAGGCCAAUCAAACCGGGAGAUAGCUGGUUCUCCCCGAAAGCUAUUUAGGUAGCGCCUCGUGAACUCAUCUUCGGGGGUAGAGCACUGUUUCGGCUAGGGGGCCAUCCCGGCUUACCAAACCGAUGCAAACUCCGAAUACCGAAGAAUGUUAUCACGGGAGACACACGGCGGGUGCUAACGUCCGUCGUGAAGAGGGAAACAACCCAGACCGCCAGCUAAGGUCCCAAAGUCAUGGUUAAGUGGGAAACGAUGUGGGAAGGCACAGACAGCCAGGAUGUUGGCUUAGAAGCAGCCAUCAUUUAAAGAAAGCGUAAUAGCUCACUGGUCGAGUCGGCCUGCGCGGAAGAUGUAACGGGGCUAAACCAUGCACCGAAGCUGCGGCAGCGACACUUAGGUGUUGUUGGGUAGGGGAGCGUUCUGUAAGCCGUUGAAGGUGACCUGUGAGGGUUGCUGGAGGUAUCAGAAGUGCGAAUGCUGACAUAAGUAACGAUAAUGCGGGUGAAAAACCCGCACGCCGGAAGACCAAGGGUUCCUGUCCAACGUUAAUCGGGGCAGGGUGAGUCGACCCCUAAGGCGAGGCUGAAAAGCGUAGUCGAUGGGAAACAGGUUAAUAUUCCUGUACUUGGUGUUACUGCGAAGGGGGGACGGAGAAGGCUAGGCUGGCCGGGCGACGGUUGUCCCGGUUUAAGCGUGUAGGGGGAGUGACCAGGUAAAUCCGGUUGCUUAUCAACCCUGAGGCGUGAUGACGAUGCACCACGGUGCAGAAGCAGUUGAUGCCAUGCUUCCAGGAAAAGCCUCUAAGCAUCAGGUAACAUUAAAUCGUACCCCAAACCGACACAGGUGGUCAGGUAGAGAAUACUCAGGCGCUUGAGAGAACUCGGGUGAAGGAACUAGGCAAAAUGGUGCCGUAACUUCGGGAGAAGGCACGCUGGCGUUAGGUGAAAGGACUAGCUCCUGGAGCUGAAGCCAGUCGCAGAUACCAGCUGGCUGCAACUGUUUAAUAAAAACACAGCACUGUGCAAACACGAAAGUGGACGUAUACGGUGUGACGCCUGCCCGGUGCUGGAAGGUUAAUUGAUGGGGUCAGCCGCAAGGGGAAGCUCUUGAUCGAAGCCCCAGUAAACGGCGGCCGUAACUAUAACGGUCCUAAGGUAGCGAAAUUCCUUGUCGGGUAAGUUCCGACCUGCACGAAUGGCGUAAUGAUGGCCAGGCUGUCUCCACCCGAGACUCAGUGAAAUUGAACUCGCUGUGAAGAUGCAGUGUACCCGCGGCAAGACGGAAAGACCCCGUGAACCUUUACUAUAGCUUGACACUGAACAUUGAGCCUUGAUGUGUAGGAUAGGUGGGAGGCCUUGAAGUGUGGACGCCAGUCUGCAUGGAGCCAACCUUGAAAUACCACCCUUUAAUGUUUGAUGUUCUAACUCGGCCCCAUGAUCUGGGGUGAGGACAGUGUCUGGUGGGUAGUUUGACUGGGGCGGUCUCCUCCCAAAGAGUAACGGAGGAGCACGAAGGUUAGCUAAUCACGGUCGGACAUCGUGAGGUUAGUGCAAAGGCAUAAGCUAGCUUGACUGCGAGAGUGACGGCUCGAGCAGGUACGAAAGUAGGUCUUAGUGAUCCGGUGGUUCUGAAUGGAAGGGCCAUCGCUCAACGGAUAAAAGGUACUCCGGGGAUAACAGGCUGAUACCGCCCAAGAGUUCAUAUCGACGGCGGUGUUUGGCACCUCGAUGUCGGCUCAUCACAUCCUGGGGCUGAAGUAGGUCCCAAGGGUAUGGCUGUUCGCCAUUUAAAGUGGUACGCGAGCUGGGUUUAGAACGUCGUGAGACAGUUCGGUCCCUAUCUGCCGUGGGCGUUGGAAGAUUGAGAGGGGCUGCUCCUAGUACGAGAGGACCGGAGUGGACGAAUCACUGGUGUUCGGGUUGUCAUGCCAAUGGCAUUGCCCGGUAGCUAAAUUCGGAAGAGAUAACCGCUGAAAGCAUCUAAGCGGGAAACUUGCCUCGAGAUGAGUCUUCCCUGGGACUUAAAGUCCCCUGAAGGAACGUUAAAGACUAUGACGUUGAUAGGCUGGGUGUGUAAGUGCAGCGAUGUAUUGAGCUAACCAGUACUAAUGAUCCGUGAGGCUUAACCUUACAACACCGAAGGUGUUU